UACGAAGGGGGCUAGCGUUGUUCGGAAUUACUGGGCGUAAAGCGCACGUAGGCGGAUCGGUCAGUUAGGGGUGAAAUCCCAGAGCUCAACUCUGGAACUGCCUUUAAUACUGCCGAUCUGGAGUCCGGAAGAGGUGAGUGGAAUUCCGAGUGUAGAGGUGAAAUUCGUAGAUAUUCGGAGGAACACCAGUGGCGAAGGCGGCUCACUGGUCCGGUACUGACGCUGAGGUGCGAAAGCGUGGGGAGCAAACAGG
rnacentral:rRNA from 1 species